AGAGUUUGAUCCUGGCUCAGGACGAACGCUGGCGGCGUGCUUAACACAUGCAAGUCGAACGGUGAACCCGCUUCGGUGGGGGAUCAGUGGCGAACGGGUGAGUAACACGUGGGCAACCUGCCCUCAGCUCUGGGAUAACUCCAAGAAAUUGGGGCUAAUACUGGAUAUGACCGCUGACCGCAUGGUCUGGUGGUGGAAAGAUUUAUCGGCUGGGGAUGGGCCCGCGGCCUAUCAGCUUGUUGGUGGGGUAGUGGCCUACCAAGGCGACGACGGGUAGCCGGCCUGAGAGGGUGACCGGCCACACUGGGACUGAGACACGGCCCAGACUCCUACGGGAGGCAGCAGUGGGGAAUAUUGCGCAAUGGGCGAAAGCCUGACGCAGCGACGCCGCGUGGGGGAUGACGGCCUUCGGGUUGUAAACCUCUUUCAGCAGGGACGAAGCGAAAGUGACGGUACCUGCAGAAGAAGCACCGGCCAACUACGUGCCAGCAGCCGCGGUAAUACGUAGGGUGCAAGCGUUGUCCGGAAUUAUUGGGCGUAAAGAGCUCGUAGGCGGUUUGUUGCGUCGGCUGUGAAAACCUGAGGCUCAACCUCAGGCCUGCAGUCGAUACGAGCAGACUAGAGUGUUGCAGGGGAGACUGGAAUUCCUGGUGUAGCGGUGAAAUGCGCAGAUAUCAGGAGGAACACCGGUGGCGAAGGCGGGUCUCUGGGCAACAACUGACGCUGAGGAGCGAAAGCGUGGGGAGCGAACAGGAUUAGAUACCCUAGUAGUCC
rnacentral:rRNA from 1 species